rnacentral:sRNA from 1 species
GAAAGUCCGAAAUCUGCUAUUUUAGCAUGUAGAUUUUGAUCCAAAAGAAUAUUGCUGGUCUUCACAUCGCGGUGAAUUAUUGGCCUGUUGCAACCUGUGUGCAGAUA